CUGGGGCUGGCUCAGAGGUAGAGCACACGCUUAGUAUGCGUGAGGCACUGGGUUCGAUUCUCAGCACCACA
rnacentral:tRNA from 1 species